GGCGGGACACGUGGUAUCCUGUCUGAAUAUGGGGGGACCAUCCUCCAAGGCUAAAUACUCCUGACUGACCGAUAGUGAACCAGUACCGUGAGGGAAAGGCGAAAAGAACCCCGGCGAGGGGAGUGAAAAAGAACCUGAAACCGUGUACGUACAAGCAGUGGGAGCACCCUUUGGGGUGUGACUGCGUACCUUUUGUAUAAUGGGUCAGCGACUUAUAUUCUGUAGCAAGGUUAACCGUAUAGGGGAGCCGGAGGGAAACCGAGUCUUAAUUGGGCGUUAAGUUGCAGGGUAUAGACCCGAAACCCGGUGAUCUAGCCAUGGGCAGGUUGAAGGUUGGGUAACACUAACUGGAGGACCGAACCGACUAAUGUUGAAAAAUUAGCGGAUGACCUGUGGCUGGGGGUGAAAGGCCAAUCAAACCGGGAGAUAGCUGGUUCUCCCCGAAAGCUAUUUAGGUAGCGCCUCGUGAAUUCAUCUCCGGGGGUAGAGCACUGUUUCGGCUAGGGGGCCAUCCCGGCUUACCAACCCGAUGCAAACUGCGAAUACCGGAGAAUGUUAUCACGGGAGACACACGGCGGGUGCUAACGUCCGUCGUGAAGAGGGAAACAACCCAGACCGCCAGCUAAGGUCCCAAAGUCAUGGUUAAGUGGGAAACGAUGUGGGAAGGCCCAGACAGCCAGGAUGUUGGCUUAGAAGCAGCCAUCAUUUAAAGAAAGCGUAAUAGCUCACUGGUCGAGUCGGCCUGCGCGGAAGAUGUAACGGGGCUAAACCAUGCACCGAAGCUGCGGCAGCGACGCUGAUGCGUUGUUGGGUAGGGGAGCGUUCUGUAAGCCUG
rnacentral:rRNA from 1 species